rnacentral:rRNA from 1 species
AGGGAAUCUUCCGCAAUGGACGAAAGUCUGACGGAGCAACGCCGCGUGAGUGAUGAAGGUUUUCGGAUCGUAAAGCUCUGUUGCCAGGGAAGAACGUCUUCUGGAGUAACUGCCAGGAGAGUGACGGUACCUGAGAAGAAAGCCCCGGCUAACUACGUGCCAGCAGCCGCGGUAAUACGUAGGGGGCAAGCGUUGUCCGGAAUUAUUGGGCGUAAAGCGCGCGCAGGCGGCUGUUUAAGUCUGGUGUUUAAUCCUGGGGCUCAACCCUAGGUCGCACUGGAAACUGAGCAGCUUGAGUGCAGAAGAGGAGAGUGGAAUUCCACGUGUAGCGGUGAAAUGCGUAGAGAUGUGGGGGAACACCAGUGGCGAAGGCGACUCUCUGGGCUGUAACUGACGCUGAGGCGCGAAAGCGUGGGGAGCAAAC